rnacentral:rRNA from 1 species
AGAGUUUGAUCAUGGCUCAGAUUGAACGCUGGCGGCAUGCUUUACACAUGCAAGUCGAACGGCAGCGGGGGCUUCGGCCUGCCGGCGAGUGGCGAACGGGUGAGUAAUGCAUCGGAACGUGCCCAUGUUGUGGGGGAUAACUACGCGAAAGCGUAGCUAAUACCGCAUAAGCCCUGAGGGGGAAAGCGGGGGAUUCUUCGGAACCUCGUGCGAUUGGAGCGGCCGAUGUCGGAUUAGCUAGUAGGUGAGGUAAAGGCUCACCUAGGCGACGAUCCGUAGCGGGUCUGAGAGGAUGAUCCGCCACACUGGGACUGAGACACGGCCCAGACUCCUACGGGAGGCAGCAGUGGGGAAUUUUGGACAAUGGGCGCAAGCCUGAUCCAGCCAUGCCGCGUGAGUGAAGAAGGCCUUCGGGUUGUAAAGCUCUUUCGGCCGGGAAGAAAUCGCAUUCUCUAACAUAGGAUGUGGAUGACGGUACCGGACUAAGAAGCACCGGCUAACUACGUGCCAGCAGCCGCGGUAAUACGUAGGGUGCGAGCGUUAAUCGGAAUUACUGGGCGUAAAGCGUGCGCAGGCGGUUUUGUAAGACAGAUGUGAAAUCCCCGGGCUCAACCUGGGAACUGCGUUUGUGACUGCAAGGCUAGAGUACGGCGAGGGGGGGUGGAAUUCCACGUGUAGCAGUGAAAUGCGUAGAGAUGUGGAGGAACACCGAUGGCGAAGGCAGCCCCCUGGGCCUGUACUGACGCUCAUGCACGAAAGCGUGGGGAGCAAACAGGAUUAGAUACCCUGGUAGUCCACGCCCUAAACGAUGUCGACUAGUCGUUCGGAGCAGCAAUGCACUGAGUGACGCAGCUAACGCGUGAAGUCGACCGCCUGGGGAGUACGGCCGCAAGGUUAAAACUCAAAGGAAUUGACGGGGACCCGCACAAGCGGUGGAUGAUGUGGGAUUAAUUCGAUGCCACGCCGAAAAACCUUACCUUCCCCUUGACAUGUUUGGGAACCUUGUUGAAAAGGGAAGGGGGCCUUCCGGGAGCCCAAAAAAAAGGGGGUGCUUGGGUGGUCGUCACCCCCCGUCCCGAAAAAGUUUGGGGUUAAAUCCCCCCACCAAAGGGCAACCCCUUUGGCCAAAUUGUCCCCACUUUUGGUGGGGCGCCCCCUUGAGAAAGCCCGGGGUCAAACCCCAGGAAAGGGAGGGGGGGGUGGCCCCCACCCCCCCCGCGCCCCCU